GUCUUCAAAUGUGCGGGCAAUGAGACUCAUCUGGGGAAGUGUUCUCGGUCUUCAGAGACUCACCAGGAUUGCAGUGGACACAACAAUGUCACCCUGAUAUGUUCUGGCAGACUUGUCGACACUGAGGCCGCGAGCUCUGAGGCUGUGAGACUGAGACUUGAGAAUGGGGGCAGUCCUUGCGCUGGCCGAGUGGAGAUACACUAUGAUGGACUGUGGGGGAC